GUCUAAGUACACACGGGCGGUACAGUGAAACUGCGAAUGGCUCAUUAAAUCAGUUAUGGUUCCUUUGGUCGCUCCUCUCCCGCUCCUUGGAUAACUGUGGUAAUUCUAGAGCUAAUACAUGCCGACGAGCGCCGACCUCCGGGGACGCGUGCAUUUAUCAGACCAAAACCAACCCGGGCCCGCCCGGCAGCUUUGGUGACUCUAGAUAACCUCGAGCCGAUCGCACGCCCCCGCGGCGGCGACGACCCAUUCGAAUGUCUGCCCUAUCAACUUUCGAUGGUACUGUCUGUGCCUACCAUGGUGACCACGGGUGACGGGGAAUCAGGGUUCGAUUCCGGAGAGGGAGCCUGAGAAACGGCUACCACAUCCAAGGAAGGCAGCAGGCGCGCAAAUUACCCACUCCCGACCCGGGGAGGUAGUGACGAAAAAUAACAAUACAGGACUCUUUCGAGGCCCUGUAAUUGGAAUGAGCGCACUUUAAAUCCUUGAGCGAGGAUCCAUUGGAGGGCAAGUCUGGUGCCAGCAGCCGCGGUAAUUCCAGCUCCAAUAGCGUAUCUUAAAGUUGCUGCAGUUAAAAAGCUCGUAGUUGGAUCUUGGGAUCGAGCUGGCGGUCCGCCGCGAGGCGAGCCACCGCCUGUCCCAGCCCCUGCCUCUCGGCGCCCCCUCGAUGCUCUUAGCUGAGUGUCCCGCGGGGUCCGAAAGCGUUUACUUUGAGAAAAU
rnacentral:rRNA from 2 species